GGCCGCCAUUGUGGUGGAGGUCCGAGCGAGUCUCCUGGGCCCGAACCGGCUGUUGGAAGUGCUAGGGCACCGAGAGCCACGGUCUGUUUUUCCCAUGGUAAAACAACAAGAAAGACAGAACAAAGAAGGCAGAGCAGAAAAGUUCCAUGUUCCUCCUCACUCCAUCUUGCCUAGCCAAAACAAUUGAACAGUUUCAGAUAUCUAUUUCAAAGAUUUCAAAUAAGUUCUAAAAUGUUUUCUUUUGUUGUGACUUCAGCCUUGACUUGCCUCUACUCUUAAGCAUACGUCUAAGCCUGAUCAAAAGGACAAUGUGGGAAUGCCUGAAAGAAUAAUGUAUGCUUUUCAAAAGAUAGCCAGAUACUGGAAGCAGAAACUCUGAAGGACAAAGUUAAUAUCUAAAGGUAGCUGUCAUCUUAUGAUCUAAGGUCCGGACCCUAUUUGUCAGUGGCCUUCCUCUGGAUAUCAAACCUCGGGAGCUCUAUCUGCUUUUCAGACCAUUUAAGGGCUAUGAGGGUUCUCUUAUAAAGCUCACAUCUAAACAGCCUGUAGGUUUUGUCAGUUUUGACAGUCGCUCAGAAGCAGAAGCUGCAAAGAAUGCUUUGAAUGGCAUCCGCUUCGAUCCUGAAAUUCCGCAAACACUACGACUAGAGUUUGCUAAGGCAAACACGAAGAUGGCCAAGAACAAACUCGUAGGGACUCCAAACCCCAGUACUCCUCUGCCCAACACUGUACCUCAGUUCAUUGCCAGAGAGCCAUAUGAGCUCACAGUGCCUGCACUUUACCCCAGUAGCCCUGAAGUGUGGGCCCCGUACCCUCUGUACCCAGCGGAGUUAGCGCCUGCUCUACCUCCUCCUGCUUUCACCUAUCCCGCUUCACUGCAUGCCC
rnacentral:sRNA from 1 species